UAAGCGGAGGAAAAGAAACUAACAAGGAUUCCCCUAGUAACGGCGAGUGAAGCGGGAAGAGCUCAAAUUUGAAAUCUGGCGUCCUCAGGGCGUCCGAGUUGUAAUCUAUAGGAACGUUUUCCGUGCCGGCUCAUGUACAAGUCCCUUGGAACAGGGCGUCAUAGAGGGUGAGAAUCCCGUACUUGACAUGAACUACCGGUGCUCUGUGAUACGUCUCCAACGAGUCGAGUUGUUUGGGAAUGCAGCUCAAAAUGGGUGGUAAAUUCCAUCUAAAGCUAAAUAUUGGUGUGAGACCGAUAGCGAACAAGUACCGUGAGGGAAAGAUGAAAAGCACUUUGGAAAGAGAGUUAAACAGUAUGUGAAAUUGUUGAAAGGGAAACGAUUGAAGUCAGUCAUGUCCUUCAGAUUCAGCUGGUUCUGCCGGUGUAUUUCUGUUGGAUGGGGUCAACAUCAGUUUUGGAUGCCGGAUAAAGGUGGGAGGAAGGUAGUACCCCCGGGUAAACUUAUAGCCUCCUAUUGCAUACGGUGACCGGGACUGAGGAACGCAGCUUGCCUUUAUGGCCGGGGUUCGCCCACGUACAAGCUUAGGAUGUUGACAUAAUGGCUUUAAACGACCCGUCUUGAAACACG
rnacentral:rRNA from 1 species